rnacentral:tRNA from 1 species
GUUUUUAUAGCUUAAUUAGAGUGAAGCUUUGAAGGGGCUGAGGUGAUAUAAAAAUCUAAAAACA